rnacentral:rRNA from 1 species
GCAAGUCGAACGGUAACGCGGAGAGCUUGCUCUCUGGCGACGAGUGGCGGACGGGUGAGUAACGCGUAGAAAUCUGCCCAGUAGUGGGGGACAACCUGGAGAAAUCCAGGCUAAUACCGCAUACGCCCUACGGGGGAAAGCGGGGGAUCUUCGGACCUCGCGCUAUCAGAUGAGCCUGCGUCGGAUUAGCUAGUUGGUAAGGUAAUGGCUUACCAAGGCGACGAUCCGUAGCUGGUUUGAGAGGAUGAUC